UGCCCGAUGGUGUAACGGUAGCACAGCAGAUUCUGGAUCUGUUUGUCAAGGUUCGAAUCCUUGUCGGGCAGCCA
rnacentral:tRNA from 1 species